UGCUGAGAAGUUAAUGGCCGCGGUAUUUUGACCGUGCAAAGGUAGCAUAAUCAUUUGUCCUUUAAUUGGGGGCUGGAAUGAAGGAAAUUUUGAAGUUUUUUCUGUCUCUUUUUUAUGUUGGAAUUUGUUUUUUUUGUGAAGAAACAAGAAUUAUAAAAGGGGACAAGAAGACCCUUUUAAGCUUGAUUUAUAAAAUUUGUUUGUGGUCUUUAAAGGAGAUUAGUUGUGUUUGUGGUAAAUUUGGUUGGGGUGACUGGAAAGGAUUAAAUCCUUUCUUUUUUUAUAAACGGUGUGUUUAAAGAGGACCCAGAAUUUUCUGGUUGAUAGAAUUAGUUACUAAAGGGAUAACAGCGUAAUUUUUUCAGAGAGUUCUUAUUGAAGAAAAAGAUUGCGACCUCGAUGUUGACUUAUUUUUUCCUUUUAAGGUGUAGCAGCUGUAAGGGUUGGUCUGUUCGACCAUUAAAAUUGU
rnacentral:rRNA from 1 species